CCUACGGGAGGCAGCAGUGAGGAAUAUUGGUCAAUGGACGGAAGUCUGAACCAGCCAAGUCGCGUGCAGGAUGACUGCCCUAUGAGUUGUAAACUUCUUUUUUACAAGAGUAAAGCUGGAUACGUGUAUUUCUCUGCAAGUACUUUACGAAUAAGGAUCGGCUAACUCCGUGCCAGCCGCCGCGUUAAUACGGAGGAUCCGAGCGUUAUCCGGAUUUAUUGGGUUUAAAGGGUGCGUAGGCGGAGUGUUAAGUUAGGUGUGAAAAGUGUGGGCUUAACCCUGGAACGGCCUCUAAUACUGUCGAUCUAGAGUGUAGCAGCGGUAGGCGGAAUUUGUGGUGUAGCGGUGAAAUGCUUAGAUAUCAUGCAGAACACCGAUUGCGAAGGCAGUUUAC
rnacentral:rRNA from 1 species